rnacentral:rRNA from 1 species
UACGUAGGGUGCAAGCGUUGUCCGGAAUUAUUGGGCGUAAAGAGCUCGUAGGCGGUUUGUCGCGUCUGCUGUGAAAACUCGGGGCUUAACUCCGGGCCUGCAGUGGGUACGGGCAGACUAGAGUGCGGUAGGGGAGAGCUGGAAUUCCUGGUGUAGCGGUGAAAUGCGCAGAUAUCAGGAGGAACACCGGUGGCGAAGGCGGGGUCUCUGGGCCGUAACUGACGCUGGAGGAGCGAAAGCGUGGGGAGCGAACAGG